GAUUCUAAUGCAGUGUUGGGAAUACCAAAGUUUACUGGGAAAUAAUACCUGUGAAAGGAAAAUGGGAAGAAGCCAUAUGUGCCAGGGGAUUCAUCAGAAAUGUAGACUGGACAGUCUGUAAGCUCCACUAGAGCACCAGAGCAACGGUUGCUGGUAAGAAGAGUUCCGUGUUUGGUCAGAAAUAACAAUAUCCUUGUACCUCUGGUCCCCCCCACCCCAGUCACUGGCAAAUGUUUAACGAUGGCUUUCCAAGGAGGGAGUGCUGAUUUGCAGCAUCUGUCAAUUUUUUCAGGGUAAAGGCUUGCACCAUCAUUGAUUUGAAGCUAUGGAGAUAACAUGAAUGCAGAAUUGAGAAGAAAUGUGCACCUACCAGCUCUUCCAUCAGCUGGUGUGAGCCAGGACACAUGGCUGGAAGUCACCCUGGAUAGUGACAAAUGUCUCCUUGAGAGAAACAUCACCACCACGCAAGAGCCACUAAUGCACUUGGACAGAGAGACCUGUGAUGUUGGAGCAUGAAUAACAAUUCUUCCACUUCUUACGGACAGAAACUGAAGUACAUUGCUGAUCUUCUGCUGCACAGAAGAUGAUGGUCGUCAAGUCUCCUGUGAUGAAAGAAGCCUUGUUCUAUUUGGUUUUCCUCAAUACUCAGAGACUGAGUGACUCGUCCAGAAGAAUCUGGGGACACUCUGGCCAGCUUGCUUGGCCUUCGUACGAGAGUCAAGACAUAAAUUGGACCAUAAAUUGGCCUCUGUCAGAAUCUACAUCGGAAUGACACCAAAUACAUGUCAUCGGGCUUGUGUUCCAACUAACAGCAGGAAUCCACUGGUGCUUGUCAUCUUGAUCAAAUGUUCACCUCACUCCCUUUUCCAGUUCCUGCCUCUACUUUGAAGAAAAUACGGUGAAGACCCUGGCAAAUUUGCUGUUUGGGUUCGGCAGUGUUGUGCAGCAAAAAGAAAACAGGUGAAUUUAAUUGAUUGGUUCCAAGUUAAGUCUCCACUGUGAGUAUCAGAGGUAGGAUGCAUAUAAAUAAAAGUGGAUGCAAACAAAGAAAUAUACAGUUAUACAAAAGGAACAAGAAGGUAUGCAUAACAGAUAUAUUUAUCCCACAAGUAAAGCCACGGCUCCAUGAUUCAUGAGUGGCAGAGAUAUGGUUGACUUACAGAGAUUUGUUCUCUGGAGUAAGAUAAACUUGGCAUUUCAACUCCUACCAUUAUGGACUCUGAGCAAAAAAUCAAAUGUUUUCAAGAGUUAGCUUAUGUUAUCAAUGAACACAUACAGCCACGUGUUAAUGAAAAAGUUCAGAUGGUUUUUCCAAAUAUAAGUAU
rnacentral:lncRNA from 1 species